CACCUCGACCAGGUGUCACAAGAGAACUGAACAGGAUAUCCCUGACGAUCACAGGGAACGCUCCAAACAAAAGAAAAUAAUUGUAUCAGGAUGGAAGCUUCGAAUGGCUAGCAGAACCGAGGCCGCAGGGACACCGUCGCAUUGAGGUAGUGCCAUGGCCGUAGGUGCUGAUGUCGCAUGGG